rnacentral:rRNA from 1 species
AUACGGAGGGUGCGAGCGUUAAUCGGAAUUACUGGGCGUAAAGGGUGCGUAGGCGGCUUGAUAAGUCGGAUGUGAAAGCCCCGGGCUUAACCUGGGAAUUGCAUUCGAUACUGUCAGGCUAGAGUAUGUCAGAGGUUGGCGGAAUUCCUAGUGUAGCGGUGAAAUGCGUAGAUAUCAGGAGGAACACCAGUGGCGAAGGCGGCUAACUGGGGCAAUACUGACGCUGAGGCACGAAGGCGUGGGGAGCAAACAGGAUUAGAAACCCUAGUAGUCC